ACGCUCGACACCUACGGGAGGCAGCAGUGGGGAAUAUUGCACAAUGGGGGAAACCCUGAUGCAGCGACGCCGCGUGAAGGAAGAAGUAUCUCGGUAUGUAAACUUCUAUCAGCAGGGAAGAAAAUGACGGUACCUGACUAAGAAGCCCCGGCUAACUACGUGCCAGCAGCCACGGUAAUCUGAGCGGGCUGGCAAGGC
rnacentral:rRNA from 1 species